rnacentral:rRNA from 1 species
ACGCCUUGCAUGUACUAGCAUGCGAGUCAUUGUAGCGAUACAAGGCGGACGGCUCAGUAACACGUGGACAACCUACCCUCCGGACGGGUAUAAACCCGGGAAACUGGGUAUAAUCCCCGAUAGAUCUCGGUCGCUGGAAAGCCCCGAGAUCGAAAGCUCCGGCGCCAGAGGAUGGGUCUGCGGCCUAUCAGGUAGUAGUGGGUGUAGCGUACCUACUAGCCUACGACGGGUACGGGUUGUGAGAGCAAGAGCCCGGAGAUGGAUUCUGAGACACGAAUCCAGGCCCUACGGGGUGCAGCAGGCGCGAAAACUUUACAAUGCCGGCAACGGCGAUAAGGGGACCUCGAGUGCCAGGUUACAAAUCUGGCUGUCGUGAUGCCUAAAAAGCAUUGCAUAGCAAGGGCCGGGCAAGACCGGUGCCAGCCGCCGCGGUAACACCGGCGGCUCGAGUGGUAACCGUUAUUAUUGGGUCUAAAGGGUCUGUAGCCGGCCGGAUAAGUCUCUUGAGAAAUCCAGCAGCUCAACUGUUGGGCUUUCAGGAGAUACUGUCUGGCUCGAGGCCGGGAGAGGUGAGAGGUACUUCAGGGGUAGGGGUGAAAUCUUGUAAUCCUUGAAGGACCACCAGUGGCGAAGGCGUCUCACCAGAACGGACCUGACGGCAAGGGACGAAAGCUAGGGGCACGAACCGGAUUAGAUACCCGGGUAGUCCUAGCCGUAAACGAUACUCGCUAGGUGUCGGCCACGGUGCGACCGUUGUCGGUGCCGUAGGGAAGCCGUGAAGCGAGCCACCUGGGAAGUACGGCCGCAAGGCUGAAACUUAAAGGAAUUGGCGGGGGAGCACCACAACGGGUGGAGCUUGCGGUUUAAUUGGAUUCAACGCCGGG